GGCAUACAUUCGGCCUAUCCGAACAUCGGGUCUCAUUACUAGAUGGUUAUAUCGAUUAGUAUAAAAAUUAUUUUUAUGUUACUGGUUUAGGUUUAAACCUAUGGGGUCACACAUAUAGAAGUACCUGUCUAAUCAAAUGGCUGAUAGAUGAUUAUGAAUCAUUAAAGGAUUUAAUUAUCAAUUUGAUUGAUGAUUAAUCCUUUGCAAAGGUUG
rnacentral:lncRNA from 1 species